AUUGAACGCUGGCGGCAUGCCUUACACAUGCAAGUCGAACGGCAGCACGGGUGCUUGCACCUGGUGGCGAGUGGCGAACGGGUGAGUAAUACAUCGGAACAUAUCCUGUAGUGGGGGAUAGCCCGGCGAAAGCCGGAUUAAUACCGCAUACGAUCUACGGAUGAAAGCGGGGAACCUUCGGGCCUCGCGCUAUAGGGUUGGCCGAUGGCUGUUUAGCUAGUUGGUGGGGUAAAGGCCUACCAAGGCGACGAUCAGUAGAUGGUCUGAGAGGACGACCAGCCACACUGGGACUGAGACACGGCCCAGACUCCUACGGGAGGCAGCAGUGGGGAAUUUUGGACAAUGGGCGAAAGCCUGAUCCAGCAAUGCCGCGUGUGUGAAGAAGGCCUUCGGGUUGUAAAGCACUUUUGUCAGGAAAGAAAUCCUUGGCUCUAAUACAGUCGGGGGAUGACGGUACCGGAAGAAUAAGCACCGGCUAACUACGUG
rnacentral:rRNA from 1 species